rnacentral:rRNA from 1 species
GGGCCCGCACAAGCGGUGGAGUAUGUGGUUUAAUUCGAUGCAACGCGAAGAACCUUACCAGGGUUUGACAUCCUGCGAAUCUCUUGGAAACGAGAGAGUGCCUUCGGGAACGCAGUGACAGGUGGUGCAUGGCUGUCGUCAGCUCGUGUCGUGAGAUGUUGGGUUAAGUCCCGCAACGAGCGCAACCCACGUCUUUAGUUGCCAGCAUUUAGUUGGGCACUCUAGAGAGACUGCCGGUGAUAAACCGGAGGAAGGUGUGGAUGACGUCAAGUCAUCAUGGCCCUUACGGCCUGGGCUACACACGUGCUACAAUGGCUAGGACAGACGGCCGCAAACCCCCGCGAGGGG